UCGCUCUUCAACGAGGAAUCCCUAGUAAGCACAGGUCAUCAGCUUGUGCUGAUUACGUCCCUGCCCUUUGUACACACCGCCCGUCGCUACUACCGAUUGAAUGGCUUAGUGAGGCCCUCGGAUCGAUUUUCUGAGACUGGCAACAGUCUUUGAUUGUUGAGAAGUUGGUCAAACUUGGUCAUUUAGAGGAAGUAAAAGUCGUAACAAGGUUUCCGUAGGUGAACCUGCGGAAGGAUCAUUAUUAUUUGGAUAGGGUUUAACGCUAAUUUGUCCUUUAUAGUUGGUGGGAAACCUCUUCUAAAUAUUUUAAAUUUUAUUACUUCCUUUUGAAAAAAAGGAGCAAGAUGAAAUAUAUUUAAAACCCAACUCUUAAAUGUAUAUAAUUAUGUAUUUUUUAAAUGAUAAAAAUUAAAAGAUCACUUUCAACAACGGAUCUCUUGGCUCUCGCAUCGAUGAAGAACCUAGCGAAGUGCGAUAAGUAAUGUGAAUUGCAGAAUUCCGUGAAUCAUCGAAUCUUUGAACGCAUAUUGCACUUUCUGGUAUUCCGGAAAGUAUGCCUGUUUGAGGGUCAGUUAAAUAAAAAUCGGUGUUGUUGCUACCCGUAGUGGUGGUGAUACAUCGGAAUUGAGUUGUCUUUACCUUUUUUGGUUAAGUGACUUAAAAUUAUGUACGAUUUUUUGAACGUAUUUAAAUUGUUUUAUGUAUGUUCAUAAUAUCAAAUAUUAGGUGCGGUCAUUCUUAUGAUUUCGCGUCUAUAAUUUUCAUUAUUUGACCUCAAAUCAGGUAAGAGUACCCGCUGAACUUAAGCAUAUCAAUAAGCGGAGGAAAAGAAAAUAACAAUGAUUCCCUUAGUAACGGCGAGUGAAGGGGGAUAAGCUCAAAUUUUAAAUCUGCUAGGUCCUACCUAUUAGAGUUGUAAUUUGAAGAAGCGUUUUCCGCGUCUCGGUUGACCCAAAUCCUUUGGGAUAUGGUAUCAUGGAGGGUGAGAAUCCCGUUCGGUUGACCUUGUGACGCUUUACGAUACGUUUUCAAAGAGUCGAGUUGUUUGGGAUUGCAGCUCAAAAUGGGAGGUAAAUUUCUCCUAAGGCUAAAUAUUGGCGAGAGACCGAUAGCGAACAAGUACCGUGAGGGAAAGAUGAAAAGAACUUUGAAAAGAGAGUAAAAUAGUACGUGAAAUUGUUGAAAGGGAAACGAUUGAAGUCAGUCGUACCGACGGAAAAUCAGCUUUUUGAGUGCGGACUUGUGGGUUUACGUGAGCUUUACGGCCUCGUUGUUUGCAAUGUUCGUUCUUUUUGGGUGUACUUUUUCGUAUGGUUGGCCAAUAUCAGUUUCGAUCGCUAUAAAAUGACCGGCGGAAUGUAGCUUCGAUCUCGUAUUGAAGUGUUAUAGCCUCUGGUAGAUGUGGUGAUUGGGACUGAGGAUUGCAACGAAUACCUUUUUGGGCUAUCCGUCUGAUCUCUGAAAGUUGCUUAGGUGCCGAAAGCGUGCUUACGGUUAUUUAAGUUGACGGUCAAAAGGUUAGAACGUGAUUAUAUUCGUUAAGGAUGUUGGCGUAAUGGCUUUAAACGACCCGUCUUGAAACACGGACCAAGGAGUCUAGCAUAUAUGCGAGUGUU
rnacentral:rRNA from 1 species